AGAAGGCGGACGUGCUGGAGGGGACAGUGGAGAGGCUGCCCCCCAUCAGAGCGUCAGGGCUGGGAGCUGACCCCGCCCAGGCAGUGGUCUCACCGGGCCAGGGAGAUGGUGUUCCUGGCCCAGCCCAGGCAUUCCCUGGCCACCUGCCCCUGCCCACAAAGGUGGAAGCCAAGGCUCCUGAGACACCCAGCGAGAACCUCAGGACUGGCCUGGAAUUGGCUCCAGCACCCGGCAGGGUCAAUGUGGUCUCCCCGAGCCUGGAGGUUGCACCAGGUGCAGGACAAGGAGCAUCGUCCAGCAGGCCUGACCCUGAGCCCUUAGAGGAAGGCACGAGGCUGACUCCAGGGCCUGGCCCCCAGUGCCCAGGGCCUCCAGGGCUGCCAGCCCAGGCCAGGGCAGCCCACAGUGGUGGAGAAACACCUCCAAGGAUCUCCAUCCACAUACAAGAGAUGGAUACUCCUGGGGAGAUGCUGAUGACAGGCAGGGGCAGCCUUGGACCCACCCUCACCACAGAGGCUCCAGCAGCUGCCCAGCCAGGCAAGCAGGGCCCACCUGGGACCGGGCGCUGCCUCCAAGCCCCUGGGACUGAGCCCGGAGAACAGACCCCUGAAGGAGCCAGAGAGCUCUCCCCGCUGCAGGAGAGCAGCAGCCCCGGGGGAGUGAAGGCAGAGGAGGAGCAAAGGGCUGGGGCCGAGCCUGGCACGAGACCAAGCUUGGCCAGGAGCGACGACAAUGACCAUGAGGUUGGGGCCCUGGGCCUGCAGCAGGGCAAAAGCCCAGGGGCGGGAAACCCUGAGCCUGAGCAGGACUGUGCAGCCAGGGCUCCGGUGAGAGCCGAAGCAGUAAGGAGGACGCCCCCAGGCGCCGAGGCUGGCAGCGUGGUUCUGGAUGACAGUCCGGCCCCACCAGCUCCUUUUGAACACCGGGUAGUGAGCGUCAAGGAGACCUCCAUCUCUGCGGGUUACGAGGUGUGCCAGCACGAAGUCUUGGGAGGGGGCCGGUUUGGCCAGGUCCACAGGUGCACAGAGAAGUCCACAGGCCUCCCACUGGCUGCCAAGAUCAUCAAAGUGAAGAGCGCCAAGGACCGGGAGGACGUGAAGAACGAGAUCAACAUCAUGAACCAGCUCAGCCACGUGAACCUGAUCCAGCUCUAUGACGCCUUCGAGAGCAAGCACAGCUGCACCCUCGUCAUGGAGUACGUGGACGGGGGUGAGCUCUUCGACCGGAUCACAGAUGAGAAGUACCACCUGACUGAGCUGGAUGUGGUCCUGUUCACCAGGCAGAUCUGUGAGGGUGUGCAUUACCUGCACCAGCACUACAUCCUGCACCUGGACCUCAAGGUGGGUUCUGCCCUGGGCAUGCGGUAGGGGCCCCUGGUGUCCUAGCCCCUGGUGUGCUCUCACCAUUGAGAGCUCUAUCCACAGACAGUCCCAGCUUCCAUUCCUGGCUCUCUGUCAUUUUGUAGUUCUGGAGUCUGGGACAGGCCACUCUUGCUGCCUCUUGGGGCUGUAGUUCUUCCAUCUGGAUAAUGGUACCUCUUUAAGUAUUAUUUGAAGAUUAAGUGAAACAAUGAGCUUUUCUUCUUUAAAAAUAUCUUUAAGAUUACUUUUUUUAAAAGUUCAAAAGGGAACAUAGGCUUUUGGUAACAACUAUAGACAACAGAGUAGUGUGUAAAAUACACAGUGAAAGUUCCUCCCGCCAGGCCUCCGUGCUGAAGGGACUUCUCUGUGAGCAAGCUGGCAUGACUCACAGACACACAAAAGGAGAUCCUACGAUGCAUUCUUCCCUCCCUCCCUCCCCCUCUCUCUCUUUCUUUUCUUUCUUUCUCUCUCUCUUUCUUUUCUUUCUUUCUUUCUUUCUUUCUUUCUUUCUUUCUUUCUUUCUUUCUUUCUUUCUGUUUCUUCUUUCUUUCUUUCUCUCACUUUCUUUUUCUUUCUCUCUCUCUUUUCUCUCUCUCUCUCUCUUCUCUCCUCUCUCCUCUCUUUCUUUUUUGGAGACAGGGCCUCUCUCUGUUGCCCAGGCUGGAGUGCAGUGGUGCCAUCAUAUCUCACUGCAGCCUGGACCUCCCAGGCUUAAGUGAUCCUCAGUCUCCCAAGUAGCUAGGACUACAGGCACGUGCCACCACACUUGGCUAAUUUUUGUAUUUUGUAUAGAGACAAGGAUUCACCAUGUUGCCCAGGCUGGUCUUGAACUCCUGGACUCAAACAAUCCUGCCUCAGCCUCCCAAAGUGCUGGGAUUACAGGCAUGAGCCACCACAUCUAGCCCAGAUGGCUGCAAAUGCCAUUAAUUCAUUCCUUUUUAUGGCUGAGUAGUAUAUGGUACUGGCAUAAAAAUAGGCGCUGAGUGGUAUAUGGUACUGGCAUAAAAAUAGGCACAUAGACCAAUGGAACAUAAUCGAGAACCCAGAAAUAAACCCUAAUACUUACAGCCAACUGACUGACAAAGCAAACAAAAACAAGUGAAGAAAUGACACCCUAUUCAACAAAUGGUGCUGGGAUAAUUGGCAAGCCACAUGUAAGAGAAUGAAACUGGAUCCUCAUCUCUCACCUUAUACAAAAAUCAACUCAAGAUGGAUCAAGGACUUAAAUCUAAGGCCUGAAACUAAAAAUUGUAGAAGAUAACAUUGGAAAAAAUCCUUCUAGACAUUGGCUUAGGCAAGGAUUUCAUGAGCAAGAACCCAAAAGCAAAUGCAAUAAAAACCAAAUGUUUGAAGAAGAAUUAACACCUUUACAAAUUCUUCCAAAAAUAGAAGAGGAGGGAACACUUGCUUCUCAUUUUAUG
rnacentral:sRNA from 1 species